rnacentral:rRNA from 1 species
AGACCCGAAACCCGGUGAUCUAGCCAUGGGCAGGUUGAAGGUUGGGUAACACUAACUGGAGGACCGAACCGACUAAUGUUGAAAAAUUAGCGGAUGACCUGUGGCUGGGGGUGAAAGGCCAAUCAAACCGGGAGAUAGCUGGUUCUCCCCGAAAGCUAUUUAGGUAGCGCCUCGUGAAUUCAUCUCCGGGGGUAGAGCACUGUUUCGGCUAGGGGGCCAUCCCGGCUUACCAACCCGAUGCAAACUGCGAAUACCGGAGAAUGUUAUCACGGGAGACACACGGCGGGUGCUAACGUCCGUCGUGAAGAGGGAAACAACCCAGACCGCCAGCUAAGGUCCCAAAGUCAUGGUUAAGUGGGAAACGAUGUGGGAAGGCCCAGACAGCCAGGAUGUUGGCUUAGAAGCAGCCAUCAUUUAAAGAAAGCGUAAUAGCUCACUGGUCGAGUCGGCCUGCGCGGAAGAUGUAACGGGGCUAAACCAUGCACCGAAGCUGCGGCAGCGACGCUUAUGCGUUGUUGGGUAGGGGAGCGUUCUGUAAGCCUGUGAAGGUGUGUCGUGAGGCAUGCUGGAGGUAUCAGAAGUGCGAAUGCUGACAUAAGUAACGAUAAAGCGGGUGAAAAGCCCGCUCGCCGGAAGACCAAGGGUUCCUGUCCAACGUUAAUCGGGGCAGGGUGAGUCGACCCCUAAGGCGAGGCCGAAAGGCGUAGUCGAUGGGAAACGGGUUAAUAUUCCCGUACUUGGUGUUACUGCGAAGGGGGGACGGAGAAGGCUAUGUUGGCCGGGCGACGGUUGUCCCGGUUUAAGCGUGUAGGUGUGUGUUCCAGGUAAAUCCGGUUCACUUUAACAC